CUCCUCCCUGAGUCUCCAGCUGAAAGACCCUCAACGCGAUCAACAUCAGCUCCUCCCUGAGUCUUCAGCUGCAUGAACCUCAAUCUAGAACAUCACCUCCUCUCCAGGUCUACAGCUGUAGGGGCCCUCAAUCUAGAACAUCAACUUCUCUCCGGGUCUCCAGCUGUAGGGCCAUCAAACGAGAACAUCAGUUCUCCCGGCUCAGCUGCACGAACCUCAAUCUAGAACAUCAGCUCCUCUCCGGGUCUGCAGCUGCAAGACCCUCAAACUACAACAUCAGCUCCUCCCUGGGUCUCCAGCUCCUCCAUGACCCACAAUCUAGAACAUCAGCUCCUCCC
rnacentral:lncRNA from 1 species